rnacentral:lncRNA from 1 species
ACGGAGGAAUCCCACCCUAAUGAUCACCCACCAGCAUCGGAUGAGAAACCCAAUAAAUGGGGCACCCACAUCAUGGGACCAGCAGCAGCUCCUAACGUCCACCCUGACAACCAACAGGCUGCCUUAUGGAAUGCCAGUGAGCACCAGCAAAUCCCCGAGCACCCAUACCUGGUUUAUACUCCCAUUGACAAAUCAGAAAAGUCAACCCAGAAAUCUUUUGAACCUGUGAUCCAUAAGUUUCAGGAAUGGGGCAAGAAGGCAGAGACCGUAGCCCGUAACAUGUGGCACAAUCGUAAGUUGAUGUUCACAAACCAUGAAAUAUUAAAUUUAGCUAAUUGAUCAUCACUGUGACUGUGACCAUGAUAGAGUAGCGAUUUUCUGGCAUCAAAGCGGACAACAAAUUUAGUUCAAGUGUAUCUUCCAAUCUUAUUUCUGAUCUGUUUUAACACGCACCUGCACAUACACUUUAAUGCAGUUAGCACAGGGCCAUCUGUGCCACAAACUGCCUGGGGUAAGGUAAACCUGACGGCGAAAGCAAUAACAGAGGGUGGCUUUGAGUCUCUCUUCAAGCAUAUAUUUGAAACCGAUCCUAAUGAGAAGCUGAAGAAGACUUUUGCUUGUUACCUCUCAACAUCUACUGGCCCUGUUGCCGGGACGCUCUAUCUAUCAACUGCUCGAGUCGCGUUCUGCAGCGACCGUCCUCUGUGCCAUACUGCUCCUUCAGGGGAGGAGGCCUGGAGCUACUACAAGGUAAAUACAUCGCUAGACACCAAGUCGGAUAGAUUUUACCACAUUCAUAGCUAUUAUUAUAUAUAGUUAAGCUCUGUUAAAUUCCAAACAAAAGGUGAAGUUGAGAGAAAUCGUGCAUCUAUAAAAGGGUAGUUCACGGAGAUACAGCAAAACAAAACUAAAUAUAUUUGGCAAUCAAAGCUCAAACUAAAUUUUCUAUCUUGCUAUAGUCAUCCGUGUAUAUCAUGGUAGUACUUAAUGAAUUCAAUAAUAACUUAUUUUGAGCAGGUUAUGAUACCCUUGGACAAAAUAAGCACAGUCAGCUCGGAGAUCAUGCUGGAAAAUCCAUCAAGGAAGUACAUUCAAAUUGUCAGCACCGAUGGGCACGACUUCUGGUUUAUGGGUUUCGUUAAUUUCGAGAAAGCCUUGCAAAAUCUAUCAGAGAGCGUGUCGAGUUUCAAGGAAGCAGGAAUUGCAAUUCAACCAGUUGUUGCUUAGCCAAUGAUUGCAUUUGGAGUUGAAUCCUUCAAAAUUUUGAUUUUCACUGUUUCUAGUGGAUUUAUUGUUUGUUGCCUGAAGGGAGCUUUCCUUUAGUCUUCCUCUUGUCAUUCUUUUAUUCUUGUCGCACCCUACAUCGCGACAACCUUAAAAAUUUAUCAUGAAAUAAAAUGGAUUUCUGGUAUCCUGUUUUUUAAUGGGGAACGGUUUUGUUUAAGGAGUCGCCACCUAGUAUUAUGGUCACUAGAAACCCUAACUGGUCAACAGAGAUUCUAUGGUACGAGACUGGUUACGUAAAAGGAAAGAUACUAUCACCCCUUAAACGUCCUGCCUGAGGCAGGCUGCAUUGCUGGUUUUGUCAUAAAUUGCUAACAUUUUGUUGGUUUAUGUUAUGAUGGUUUGUGUGUAAUAUUCCUGACUCUGACGCUAGUGAAUAUUUAACUACAGAUAUUUCCAACUCUGGCGUUGGUAAAUAUUACGCGGCUAUAAAAACAAAAUAAAUCUAAAUCAGUAUUUUUUAUUCCUGACUCUGGCGUCAGUGAAUAAACAAAUCAAAUAAAUUUAUUUUUUACGCAUACACAUUUUUUUAUGUAACUAAAUAAAAGUAAAAUACAAUAAAAUAAAAUAAAUUUACAUCAAUAUCUUUAUUCCUGACUCUGGCGUCAGUGAAUAAACCAAUAAAUUUAUUUUAUUUUUGCAUUCAUAUUUUUUAUUUUUAUGUAAUUUAAAUAAAAUACAAUGAAAUAAAUUUGAAUCAAUAUUUUUAUUCUAACUCUAGCAUCAAUGAAAAAAAAAAUUCAUAUUUAUUUUUUUAUUUAUACAUACACACAUCUUUGUUUUUUUGUUUUGUUUUUUUGGACUGGGCUGGACCCAGCCAGCCCGGCCCGGGUCACUGGCCCAAGCCAGUGACCCGGCUGGGCAAAAUGUGGAGCACGCGUGAAGUGAUUUCACGCGUGCAUUCACUGUGCGAAGGUAGUACAGUGUUCUUUGAUCAUUUAAUUUCAAAGAACGCAAAGGGAUGAAGAGCUGGCGUACCUGCUUCUAGAGUGGCGAAGAUGGCUGCAACGCUGGUGGUGACUUUCGCCUGCUUGAUACCUUUACUUCUGCCUUCCCUUUUUGCUCCUGUUUCCACGGUCUGCUUUCGUUUUCCAGCAGAUUUUGAGAUAAUGAAGGAACCGAGAACGAAGGUGCCGGCUUCUGUGGAUACUGAUUUUUGGGUCGUUUUCUGCAGGGAUGAAAGCAAUGGCAGAACCCAUUAUCCUCUCCGUGUUGUUCCUCUGCUUUUCUUUUGUUUCAAUUCGUGCUCUGCCUUCCCCUGUUUUCUGGUUUUUUUCUCUGGGUUUUGCUCCAGUUCUCUCCUCUGGUUCUUUUUUUUCCCCCCUGGUUCUGUUUUUUUCGUCUAGGUUUAGCUUGAGUUUUUCCUCGGUUUCUCCUUCAAACCCCCCUGCUUUUCUUCCUCUGUUUUCUGGGUUUUUCUUCUCUGGUUUUUCGUUUCCCCCCCCCCCCCCCUCUCGCUCUGGGUUUUUCUUCCCCUUUUAUAGAGACCCAGCAGCUUGCCUCUAACCAGUCCUGCCUUUGCAGGACUGUUAUCUUCCACGAACGAGAUCGUGGGCAAGAGACGUGGUCCACGAUUGGAUCUGUUGCAGAUUUUCAGGUCUCCGGUUGAAUCGGGAUGAAGAAGAUCACACGACUGUUCCACCAGCAAUGGCGACGUUUCGGCUAAAAGACACAUUUUCAUUUUGACCCCUGCUUCUUUGGAAAUUCGGCAAUUGGAUCUCUAAGCAAUUAAAAAUUUAUUUUAAUUUUGCCCUUUUGGAUUAAUUUCAAUUAAAUACCUAAAUUAUAACACUGUUUACAAAACAGUCCUUAAUUCCCGGAUUGUUCAAUUUGGCCUUUAAUUAAAUCUUUAACUUUUAAUUCUUUCAAAAUUGAUCAAUUAACUCUCAAAUUUUAUAAUUACAUCCCCAAACUUCAAAUUUUGUGUUGUCUUAACCCCAUUGUCAACUAUAUUUAAUUUUUAUUAUUUUGUUCAAAAAUUGGGUUAAGACAGUUGCCUUCUCUUUAUAAUAUUUACAAUACAAAGACAUUGAAAAAUUUCAUUUUCUUGAGCUUUGUGUGGUAAAUUUAUAAAAAAAAAAUGUAGACAAAUUUUUUUUUGUUUUUGUUUUUUUAAGUCUUGAAAACUUCGAAAACAUAUGACUUUUACAGAGAGAACAGGUCAUUUGGAAGACAGCCCAUUUUUGAUUUUUUUGUUUUUUUUUUUGAAAUGAAUCAAAUUGUUUUGGGCAUCCAGCCCGAUGAUAAAAGAAACGCGAAGAAUUUCGCGAGUGGUCUAAUUGUUCCAGGCGACCUGCCCGAUAAAGAAUAAAACGCGAAAAUGGUUUCGCAAGUGGUCUAAUUGUUCCAGGCGACCUGCCCGAUGAUUGAAAAAUACGAGGAUUUUUCAUGAUGAUCACAUUGUAAUGGGUUACCUGCCCAGAUGGUUACAUUGUAAUGAGUUACCUGCCCAGUGAACAAAUACGAGGAUUUUUCAGGAUGGUACAUUGUAAUGGGUUACCAGCCCAGAUGGUCACAUUGUAAUGGGUUACCUGCCCAGUGAAAAAAUACGAUGAUUUUUUCAAAAGAAGACGUGAUAGGGCUCGAAGGCGCAUUGUUCAAUAGAUGGAAGCUCGAAGGUAAUGAGGGCUCGGAGGCGCGCUCAAAAGGAAAUGAGAGCUCGAGGGCGCACUCAAAAGGAGGUAGGGUUAGGAAAGGCAUUACCUUUAAUGGCCGAGGACUCGAAGGCGCACUCGAAAAGAAAUGAGGUGAGGGCUCAAAGGCGCACUCAAAAGGAGGUAGGAUAGGAAACACACUACCUUUGAUGGUCGAGGGCUCGAAGGCGCGCUCGAAAAGAAAUGAGGUGAGGGCUCGAAGGCGCCCUCAAAAGGAGGUAGGAUAGAAAAUGCACUACCUUUGAUGGUCGAGGGCUCGAAGGCACACUCGAAAGGAGGUAGGGUAGGAAACACACUACUUUUGAUGGUCGAGGGCUCGAAGGCGCACUCGAAAAGAAAUGAGGUGAGGGCUCGAAGGCGCACUCAAAAGGAGGUAGGAUAGGAAAUGCACUACCUUUGAUUGUCGAGGGCUCAAAGGCGCACUCGAAAGGAGGUAAGGUAGGAAACGCACUACCUUUGAUGGUCGAGGGCUCGAAGGCGCACUCGAAAAAAAAAAUGAGAUGAGAGCUCGAAGGCGCACUCAAAAGAAGGUAGGGUAAGAAACGCACUACCUUGGGAAUGGAAAAUGAAAGGUGGUGGAAAAAUACAGAGAUUUUUCAGGUGGCCUAAUUCUCAUUGGCGGCCUGCCCAGGUUGAAAAAUUCUCAAAAGUGAAAAAUUUUCAAAAGCAAUUUCAAUGUUCGCCAUUUCAAGUUGGCCUUCCACUUGAUGAAUUUCGUUAGAAUUUUCUCUUAUGAAAUUUGCAAAACUUAUUGUACAAUGUCUCAAAGUUUAAAUGAUAUGCAUGCAUCUUUACCUGAUUUGAAAUAUAGGCCCCCCAUUUCUUCGUAGUCUUCUUGUUGCUUGGUUGGUGAGAUCUUGUCAUCUUUAUCGUUUGGCUUUCUAGCCCACUCGAGUUAGCCCAUAUAAGUCUUUUUCCAGAUUUGUUUGCACAACUCAAGCUUUGUGGUGCCCAUCGUGACCCACUUGCUUGCUAAAGAUUUUCUGACUCGUCAAAUAAUUUGAGAGGAUCAUUCAUUACCCCUCGUCUCACUGCUAAAAACAUUCGGUGUCACUAGUUGAAAGGAUCAAUCUGUCUUUUAUAAACCAAAAUGCCCCCUUGUCUUGUUGAAGGAAAUUAACAUCUCCUUUUCUAGAAUUUUUCCUUCUAAACACAAUGUUGCCCCCUUGUAUUGGUCAUUGCCCCUAAGUGUGCUCUGUCAGCGACUUAGACAAAUAAUGGUUUUAAGAGGUCAUUCUUUCAUUUCUCUCCUUUUCAGUUUGGUGAAGGAAUAUGGGUCUAGAAUGAAUCUUGAAAUCUUGAUCUUGCAUUUUGAAAACAAAAAUUAUUUCGAUGUGAGUCUAAAACAAUUUGCUUUUGAAAUCUUGCAACUCCUUGGUUAUUUUCUUUCUUGGAAAAGAGAUUAUUUGCUCUUGUGUUUGGCAAUGAGGUCUUCGGUAAAAAUACGUCAUGAGAUGACCUUUUGUUUUUAUAGGUUUUCAAAGUGGAGGGCUCGAGAAAAAGCUCGAGGUUUUGUAUGAGAAAAACUUGUCUCUUUUUUAACACUCAUUUUUAUCAGCAUGAAUAAUAAUGAGUAGUUUGUUCUUGAUAUCAUGAGUUUUAUGAAAAGUAUUCUUUGCAUUUUGAGAGCAUUGUUUAUUGUUCUAGGUUGCUUGCUUGCUUGAUUAGAAAGGACUUCUACAGGCACGUAACGUAGGCUGUGGUUUUUGGCUAUGAAAAAAAUGAUUCAUAAGGCUCAAAGAGUGUUUCAGGGUUUCAAAGAUUGAGGAUCACUAUCAACAGUUUAAUUCUUGAUGUCAUUCAUAUUUUCUUUUGCCGCUCUUUUUUGAUUUGCUGCUUUUUAUUUUUUUUAUUGCUUUGCUAGGACAUACUCAAUUUAUCUUGGAUGUCACUUUUUGUAGUCAUUUGAGCAUGCCCCCUAGCAUUUGAGUUUCUUGAGCUCUUAUGCCUUUUUGGCUUUCUCACGGCCUUUUCUCUUUUCUCAAUGAAAUUUUCUCUUGCCCCCUAGUGUGGAGUGUGAUCCUAAUCGGGAUUUAUUUCAUGAAAUAAAAAUUAUUCAGGCUAAAAAAGAGAUCGCAAGGGAUGUACUUAUUUCAGAAUGUGAAAGGAAUAACAAAGAUGACAUUUCCUCAUUUCAAGCACAAGUAGUUAAGAUCAAUAAACUGUGACCUCAUCCAGUAUGAUGGUUUGGUCUUUGCAAAGAUGCAUUUCAUGAAUCAUGAGCAACGAGUUCACUACAUACCAUUAUUCAUACAUUUAAAAACUCAUGAUUCAAAAGUCAUAGGGUAAGGGUGUUUAUUCACUUCUUUUUUUUUCUUUUUUUUUGGUUUAUAAUUUAGUCACCUUAAUGACAGAGUUGCUUGAUUCACUUGUCAUUCUACAAGUAGAAUGUCAAAAUAUCAUUUUUGAAUAAACCUCAAAUUAUUUUUUGAAAUCAAAAUGCCAGAUCAAUUUUUCAAAACUCCAAUAGGGGAACUAAUUUUGGUAAAAGAGAUGAAUUGCGUCUAUGAGACUACACGAGGCUUUAAAAGUGUAUUCGUGAGUUCUUAUAAGAAAACUCUCUUAAGAAGAUGAAUAAUGUUUGGUCGUAAACACAAUUGAAUGACAAACUCAUUAUUUCAUUGAAACUUUAGAAAAGAAGUUCAAUAACAAAGAACUUAUGCCAACAUCUUGGGCUAUGAAAAUUGGCUUGGUAACACAUAAAGGGGCUAAACAUUUAGCAAUCAUUGAUUGGAAUUUCUGGAAUCUUUCAAUCAUUCAUUCUCCUCAACAAGGGCAUCUUUUCAACAAUCAAUUGAAGUCAUAUGUAGAUCAUUCUCGACCUAAUAUCACCAUAGCUUUCUCUUCAAGAUAGUUGAUUUCUGGGAGUCGGCGUGAAGAAAUUAGCUAUAAGAACCAUAAAAGUCUUGGCCACCCCCUUCAGUGAACCCGUUCUUCUCAGUCGGGUUAGCAAUCUUACCUAACCCAAUGGCUUGUUCAAUCCUUUCAACUAUAACAACCAGGUCAGUGAAAUGUUGUGCAGAGCUUCUAACCAAGUAUUCAAAGUACGGAGCUUUAAAGCUGUUGGAAAAUAAACUGAUCAUCUCUUUUUCCAACAUAGGAGGGUUAACUUGUAUAGCUACCUCCCUCCAUCUUUGAGCGUAUUCCCUUAUGGACUCCUUGUUGUCCUUCUCCAUAGCUUGUAAGUUUAACCGAUCAGGGCCCACGUCUAUAUUAAACUUAUAUUGCCUCCUGAAGGCAUCAACUAAAUCCUUCCAUUUUUUAACCUUGGUAUUGUCCAACCGCAUAUACCAAGUGAGGGCAACAUCACUUAAGCUGUCUUGAAAGAAAUGAAUCAGCAGUUUCUCAUCAUCAACCACCUCAGCCAUUUUGUUGCAGUAUGCUUUGAGAUGAGUUAUAGGGCAUUGAGUUCCCGUAUAUUUGAUAAAUUUUGGCACUCUAAACUUUUUGAGAAUGACAACGUUAGGCACCAAACACAUCUCAGCAGCCUUUAUAGGAUCAUGUAGGCGAAUUCCCUCAAAUGCCCUCAUCCUUUGCUCUAGGGCAAUGAAUUUGUUCAGAUCAUCUUCUUUUACCAUCUUGCCUUUUUUAGAUUCCUUCUCGUUUGCUCCCGGAUUCUGUGGAGUGAAGGGAUUUACGAGCAUAGGUUCAGGCUGAGCUAUAUGUAUUGCUUUUUCGAAUUUGUCUCUCAAGGCCUGUUCGAGUAGACUAGUAAGCCUUGCGACUUCUUCUUUAAUAUUGUCCACCUCUUUUUUGUGUUGGGCUUUCAACUGGGCUCUUUCUUCGUUUUCCAUUUGUCUUUUUCUCAAAUGAUUGUUAUAGGUAGGUUUCAAUAGGGAACCUAUAAUUCAACCUGGGAAUGUAAAUCAUGCAAUUUAUGCAAAAAUGUUGAUUCAAUAAAAAAUGCGUAUGAAAUGCGGACUCGCCCUUCACGGGGUGACAAACUAAUAGGAAGAUCCUAAUUGUUGAGUGCAUCAAGGGGUUGGUCAUUAUCUAGUUUCAAAGGGUUUCUCGCAUGCUCAGUGAUCGUCCUUGAAAGGUCGAUAUGAGGCUUACAAGUAGUGUGAAAAUAGAGGCCCUGACUAAUAUCAGUUUGGCAUAUUAACCACUUCCAAGUAAACAAUCAAGCGAGAGCUGGAUGGUUUCACGAGUCUUACCCAAGCUAAAGCCGUUGGGGUACCGUUACUUCCCCACAUAUCCUAGAUUUUCAGGUGUGUGCUCUUAACGUGAUGCAUGACAAUAUAAACAUGGAUGCAUGCUAAAGCAAUAAAUGCAGGAAAAAUAAACAAAUAAACACAACAAACAAACAUUAUAGCAAUUGACAAACAAAAGGCAAAGCUUAGUCCAUUAGUCCCAAUGGAGUCGCCAUUCUGUCGCACCCGACAUCGCGGCGGCCUUAAAAAUAAUAUGGUGGAAUAGAAUGGAUUUCUGGCAUCCUGUUAUUUAAUGGGGAACAGUUUUGUUUAAGGAGUGGCCACCUAGUAUUAUGGUCACUAGGAACCCUAACUGGUCAACAGAGAUUCUAUGGUACGGGACUGGUUAUGCAAAAGAAAAGAUAUUAUCACCCUUUAAACGUCCUGCCUGAGGCAGGCUGCAUUGUUGGUUUUGUCAUAAAUUGCUAACAUUUUGUCGGUUUAUGCUAUGAUGGUUUGCGUGUAAUAUUCAUGACUUUGACGCCAGUGAAUAUUUAACUACGAAUAUUUCCAACUCUGGCGUUGGUAAAUAUUACGCAGCUAUAAAAAAAAUAAAUCUAAAUCAGUAUUUUUUAUUCCUGACUCUGGCGUCAGUGAAUAAACAAAUCAAAUAAAUUUAUUUUUUACGCAUACACAUUUUUUAUGUAACUAAAUAAAAGUAAAAUACAAUAAAAUAAAAUAAAUUUACAUCAGUAUCUUUAUUCCUGACUCUGGCGUCAGUGAAUAAACCAAUAAAUUUACUUUAUUUUAUUUUAUUUUUGCAUGCAUAUUUUUUAUUUUUAUGUAAUUUAAAUAAAAUACAAUGAAAUAAAUUUGAAUCAAUAUUUUUAUUCUGACUCUGACAUCAAUGAAUAAAAACAAUAAAUUCAUAUUUAUUUUUUAUUUAUACAUACACACAUCUUUGUUUUUUUGUUUUGUUUUUUUGGACUGGGCUGGACCCAGCCAGCCCGGCCCGGGUCACUGGCCCAAGCCAGUGACCCGGCUGGGCAAAAUGUGGAGCACGCGUGAAGUGAUUUCACGCGUGCAUUCACUGUGCGAAGGUAAUUAAAUUACCUUCGCACUGUGUUCUUUGAUCAUUUAAUUUCAAAGAACGCAAAGGGAUGAAGAGCUGGCGUACUGCUUCUGGAGUGGCGAAGAUGGCUGCAACGCUGGUGGUGACUUUCGCCUGCUUGAUACCUUUACUUCUGCCUUCCCUUUUUGCUCCUGUGCCCACGGUCUGCUUUCGUUUUCCAGCAGAUUUUGAGAUAAUGAAGGAACCGAGAACGAAGGUGCCGGCUUCUGUGGAUACUGAUUUUUGGGUCGUUUUCUGCAGGGAUGAAAGCAAUGGCAGAACCAAUUAUCCUCUCCGUGUUGUUCCUCUGCUUUUCUUUUGUUUCAAUUCGUGCUCUGCCUUCCCCUGUUUUCUGGUUUUUUUCUCUGGGUUUUGCUCCAGUUCUCUCCUCUGGUUCUGUUUUUUCCCCCCCUGGUUCUGUUUUUUUCGUCUAGGUUUAGCUUGAGUUUUUCCUCGGUUUCUCCUUCAAACCCCCCCUGCUUUUCUUCCUCUGUUUUCUGGGUUUUUCUUCUCUGGUUUUUCGUUCCCCCCCCCCCCCCCUCUCGCUCUGGGUUUUUCUUCCCCUUUUAUAGAGACCCAGCAGCUUGCCUCUAACCAGUCCUGCCUUUGCAGGACUGUUAUCUUCCACGAACGAGAUCGUGGGCAAGAGACGUGGUCCACGAUUGGAUCUGUUGCAGAUUUUCAGGUCUCCGGUUGAAUCGGGAUGAAGAAGAUCACACGACUGUUCCACCAGCAAUGGCGACGUUUCGGCUAAAAGACACAUUUUCAUUUUGACCCCUGCUUCUUUGGAAAUUCGGCAAUUGGAUCUCUAAGCAAUUAAAAAUUUAUUUUAAUUUUGCCCUUUUGGAUUAAUUUCAAUUAAAUCCCUAAAUUAUAACACUGUUUACAAAACAGUCCUUAAUUCCCGGAUUGUUCAAUUUGGCCUUUAAUUAAAUCUUUAACUUUUAAUUCUUUCAAAAUUGAUCAAUUAACUCUCAAAUUUUAUAAUUACAUCCCCAAACUUCAAAUUUUGUGUUGUCUUAACCCCAUUGUCAACUAUAUUUAAUUUUUAUUAUUUUGUUCAAAAAUUAGGUUAAGACAAUCCUCUUCUAUCAUGUAUUCUUUUCUUUGAUUGUUGUUUAUGUAGUUAUGUAGAUUUUUGAAAACGGAGUUGCAUUUGGAUAUAUUUUCUGAUAUACUUUUCCGCAUCCAACAUCGUUUUCCAUUUCUUAAUUUGCAAAAGCCUUAACAGCAUAUAUUGCCCCUUAUAUUUAUAUAUUUAUAGAUAGAUUAUAAGUUCAAAAUAUCCUUUUUUCAACAAGAAUUUUAAAUUCUAAUUCAUUAAGAAUUUUAAUUAACUAGCUAUAUAAAAAUUUUAAACACAUUUUUUUUUAUCUUAACAAUACUUUCCUUAAACUAAUAUUCUUAAAGACUCAUUUAGAAAUAAAAGGCUCUUUCUUAAAUAGGAUCUUCUAGAGUUCAAACACUAAGAAUUUUUCGGAACUUCACAAACGAAGCCAAUUCGAGGAUGUCUUUUUUUUUUUUUUUUGAGAAAGAUAUGCAAGUCUUCAAUAUCUUGAUCUGAUAAUUUACGGAUAACUAGAAUAAGUUCUUCAAAGGCAAGUUUUACUUUUCAUGUGCCAUUAAAAAAAUACCAUACUACCUCAUCUAAGAUCCUCGACGUCCCUUUGCUGAGGUUAGUUAUAGAAAAAAUAGUUGUUAUUGUUGCAAUAACUAUUGCAACUUUUAAGGGGCUACUAAUGAUGUGUUGUGUUGUUGGAAAAUUUAUCUAAGAAUAUGGUUACAUGGACAUGUUUGAAAUCAAAUUAAAAGGUAGUCUACUUACUUUUUCGGUUAAAAUUUUUUGAAAGUUUAAUCUUUAAUAUAAGCAAUUUAAUAUAGAACAUUAACAUGAUUUUAAAAAAUAUAGACGAAUGAGAAAUUGAUCUAAAAGAAUUCUUGGUUAACAUAUUUUUGUGAAACCAAAAACUCUAUUCCACUUAGAAAAGAAACAUAACCUUUUUUUAUGUUUAUUAAAUGAAAAAUUGAGAAGUUAAAAUUAGAUUCAAAGGGUAUCAAAGCUUUUAAAGGGGAGAUAUCUUAAGCAAAUUGAGGUUUAGGAUUAAGAGAGUGCUUGACAGUGUGGUCGGUUGCUUUUCAAAUAAUUUUUUGUGCCGAAAUGCAUGCCAAUAAUUUUUUUUUAUUUUUUAAAAAUCAUUUUUAACAUCAGCACACCAAAACGAUCCAAAACAUACAAAAUAUAUUAAAUUUUAGCAAAAAAAAAAUUAAAUUUUUUUGGGAACACGAUUUGCAUCGCGUUCCCAAACAUAUUCUAAAUCUACACAUGUGUGCGUCUAGGCCUGGACAAGGGUUUAGGUUUAUUGUAAAAUAAUUUUUUAGUUAACAAAAUAUUAUUUUUUUCCGACUAAAAUUUGGACUUGAUCUUGGUCCAUAAAGAAUAUUUUUUUCAGCCUAGCCCAUUGCUUUGUCCAUUUAAUGAAAGGAAAGAUCUCAUAAGUUUUUCCAGAACUCUUCCAAGGUUUCAUGAACAAAUUUUUCUAGCUCAAAAGUCACAUGAUUUAAAUAAAAAUAUUUAUAUUUAAUUCUAGUUUAUUGUGGGUAAUUAAAGUUAUUAGUAGAGGAUGUCCAUUAACUUUUGGUUUCUAAAAUUAUCUAUAAAAAAGAAGCUGAAGAAGAAUGUUUGGGGUUAGUUAAUUUUGUAUUGUUUUGACAGAAUUUGACACUUUUUUUCACCUUAUUUUCCAGCAUUGUGUUCGGGUUUUAAACUUUUGUUUUUCCUCCCAAAAUUUCUUCAAAUCUAGAGCUUAGGUUCUAUCAAACCUGAUAUCGCGGUGGCUUCAAAAUAAAUUCAGGAUUUCUGACAUCUUAUUCUUUUGGGGGGAAUGUCUUGUUUAAGGAGUCGUCACCUAGUAUUAAGGUCACUAGAAACCCUAACUGGUCAACAGAGAUCUAUGGUACGAGACUGGUUGUGACUUGAGAAUGUAUUAGCACCCCUAGCGUACCCUACCUAAGGUAAGCUGCAUUGCCGGUUUUGUCUUAAAUUGCUAAAAAUUUAUUGAUUUAUGCUAUGAUGGUUUACUUGUAAUAUUCCUGACUCUAGCGCUAGUGAAUAUUCAACUACAGAUACUUCCAACUCUGGCGUUGGUAAAUAUUCCGUAGCUAUAAAUUUAACUCACUAUUUUUAUUCCUAACUCUAACAUCAGUAAAUAAAAAAAUAAAAUAAAUUUAUUUUAUUACGCAUUCACAUAUUUUUUAUUUUUUAUGUAGCUAAAAAAACAAAAUACAAUUAAAUCAGUAUUUUUAUUCCUGACUCUGGCGUCAAUGAAUAAACCAAUAAAAUAAAUUUUUUUUACUCAUGCACAUAUUUUUUAUUUUUUCUAGCUAAAACAAAAUACAAUGAAUGAAAAUAAUAUAAAUUUAAAUUAGUAUUUUUAUUCUUGACUCUGGCAUUAUUGAAUAAAUCAAUAAAUUUAUAUUAUUUUUAUUCAUGCUUACACAUAUUUUUUAUUUUUUUAUUUUUUAUUUUUGGGCUUAGCCCAACUUAGCUCAUAAGGGCUGGGCUAGACCCUGCCAACUCGGCCCAGUCAAUGGCUCAAGCGAGUGACCUGGCUGGGCCACAUGAAUCACGCGUGCAUGAGCAGGUAAAUUCAAAGUAAACGGCAAACAGCGAAUUAAAACGAAAAGCGGGGAAAAAGAGCAAAAGACUUACCUGGUUCUUUUUGCAGAAAAUUUGCGCGAGAUUGCUGAGGGCGACGCUCCUGCUUUCAAGUUUCCUCUUGCUCCUUCUACUUGUAUUUCACGUUCUAUUUCCUUCCUGUUUCUCUAUUUCUGCUUGUCUUUUUUUUUUUUUUUCGUUGCUCUGUUUUCCAGACCCUUUCUUGUUUGCAUUCUGUCACCCUGGAUAAACUUUAAUUGGACCUUGCAUUUCAGCGCAUUUUAUGAAACAGUCCCUGGUUUCCGAAUGUUUCAUUUCAGUUCUUAAUGACUCUUCAAACUUCUAAUUCUUUCAAAAUUAUCCCUGAAAAAAUCAAUUAAACUCCCUACAGUAUCACUGCCUUUUCAAUUUGGUCAUUGUAUUUUAUUUUCUUUUAAUUUUGACUCAAAUCAGCCUCAAACUUUGGUAUUGUUUCAAUUAAACCCCUAAUUUCAUUAAUUAAAACAAAUCCAAGUCCCAUUAAGUCUCAAAACUUGUCAAUCCUUCAAUUAAGCUCUUGAUUUGAUUAAUAAAACUAAUCUAAAGUUUAAUUAAAUCCCAAAACUUCCAAUCAUGACGCCUUUAAUCCGAAUUUUAAUUUAUUCUUUAUUUAUUUAUUUUUAUUUGUUUUUCAUCAUUAUUCUUUCAUCAUUUUUUUUUCAUCAUUUUUCAGUAAAUAAAAUAAUAAUAAUAAUUAAAAUAAAAGGGUCAAAAUUUAAAUUAUGACAGGUUCAGUCAUUGUACAGGUAUUAUUAAGUAAUAUUUUAUUGGUUCAUUGGAUAUUGUUUAGGAGUCCAUUAAAAUAAGGUGUUGAUGUUGUAAUCUUGAUAAAUUUAUUGAAAAAAGUCCUAUUGCAUUAAGUGAGGAGUAAUAAAACCUUAAAGAAAAAAAAUUGAUCAUCAACAGUAAUAAAACUUGAUCAAUUUUAAAGUAUUUUAAAAAAUAAGUAAUUAUUUUUUGUUUUGUUUUAAUUUAUUCAAAAAUAUGUUGUAUGACUAGUAUGCUUGCUAAGACCUUAUUUUUAUAUCAAUAUCAAGUUUGAUAUAGGUUUAGAAUGCAUGUUAGAAUCUUUUAUAUAUAAGCUUUUUGUUAUGAUAGAAAAUUUACCAUGAUCUAAUGAAUUUCAUGAUUGUAAACUAAGCAUAUAUGCUUUUGUCUUAAUUAUUAUUUUCUAAUAUUUUUGGACAAUCUUAACAGUUGCUACUAUUGCUGUGCAUGUUUUGAAGUUGCUGUCGCUGGAGUUUUUUCUGCUGUUGGUAUGACUGAUCUUCUGCUACUGCAUGUAACUUGUUGAUGCUAUGUAUUUCCUGUUGUGUUUGUAGAAGGCUGACUCAUCAAUUGAGGCUACUAAUGUGUCUGUGAUACUAUGAAAAAUUGAAUAGAAAAGGACAACAUUAUCCUUUAAUGAGUAAUUAUAGGUGACUAUGGUUGACAUAUAUAUAUAUAUAUAUAUAUAUAUAUAUAUGGAUUUUUAAAAAAAUAGUAAUAAUAAUUAAAAUAAAAUAAUUAAUUAGGUUUUCUAUUAUAUCCUUUUUUAUUUAUUAAGGGUAUUAUAAGUAACAAUGUGUAUAUUAGUAAUUACAUAAUAAUUUGGAGUAUAAAAAGAAAACAAAACCUUAAGGAGUGAAUGUCAUACUAAUAGUUUUAGAUUGAUAGAAAAUAAUUGGAAGUGUUUUUAUAUGUUUUUGAUAGAUGAAUUUGAAGAAAUAAUGAAAUUAAGGAAUUGAAAAAAAAAAUAAUGAGUUAGUAACUUUAUACCACUAAAAUCUAGUUUUUCAAUGAGUGUUAUAAUCAAGAUUUGAUAUCUAAUUAUAAUAUACCAUAAAUUUUUCAAUUUAAUUAAUAAUUAUAAUAAUUAAAAAUACACAAUUUUAAUUUAUAAUAUUUGAAUUUAUAAAAACAUAAAAUGUUUGAAGCGAAUAAUGCAAUCCACCAUAUUUAAAAAGUAUAUAGCUAAAAUUUAUUUAUUUUUAUUUAGAAAGUGUUUGAAAGUAUGGUUAUAAUUGUUUUAUAAAAAUUAUUUUUUUAUUUUUUAAAAUUAUUUUUUAUAUCAGUACAUCAAAAUAAUUUUAAAAAAUUAAUAAAAUAUUAAUUUAAAAAAAUAAUAAAAAUAAUUUUUUAAAAAAAUAUUUUUAAAACAUAAAAAUAAAUUGAAAUUUAAUAUAUUACGUGGGUGCAUAAAAAAAAAUGUCACAUGCUUCGAUAAUUUGCAUGUAAUGUAUGUACGAUUUGUCAUUAAAGCUGAUGAAUAUGUUACAUCAACCAACCAGGGAUGUCCUAAGUCGAUCACAUCUUGGUCAAGACCCUUUAAAUAGUCAAUGAUCAAAAAGGUCUCCUCACCCAUUCAUGGAUGCCAUGUCAUACCCAACCAGCAAACUUUUUCUUAUGUGGCGGAUUGUAAAAGCCACGAGACACAAUAUGACACGUCAGCACCCAACCAUUUCGAAUUUACAAAUCAAGUCUUAAUGAUUGGAUUUAGAUGUAUCAUAAAAUUUAAUAUUUGAACAGUUAUUUAUCAAUUUUUUAUUUUUUAUUUAUUUUUGAAAAAUUAUUUAGAGAAAAAAAUAAAAAAUAAAAUACAUUCACAAUUGUAAUUAAAAUUAAUUAAGAUGUAUGUAAACUGAUCCGGAUACUAACAUUAAAAAAAAAAAAUCAUGUACAACUUCUAGUACCAGUCCAAAAAACCGAAGCAAAUAAAAAUUUUAAAAGAAGGGAGCACUAAUCCCGUGGUGCUAUAUUUGAGUUCAUGUAAAGGGUAGACCGUAAUCUUUGUAACUGGUCAACACGGGGGUGCUAAAAGAAGGGUCUAGAAAUUAUUGACAAGUGCACCUAUUGAUUAGAAAUUGAUAUUAGCAACAUGCAACUAGAUAUAGUUUUUUUUUGCUAAUCUAGAAAUAUCCUACAUUGUCAUCCGUCUUCAAAAUAUCCUACAUCUGGGAAGAGCAUAAUUCAAAAUAUUAAACUAGUAUUUUUUUAGAUAUUUUCCAUUCAUGUUAAUUUGUUGAUGCAAAGCAGACAAACCUUCUUUUCUAUCCGUGAUAAUAUCAAGCGGAGCUUUGACAAUGGCACCCGUUUUCAAAAUAUCUAGAAAGAGCAUAAUUUAUAUGGCUGGCUAAGAGGCUGAACACAUUCUUGCUAAUCUAGAAGGUUGAUCUUUCAUCUUUCUUCAUUGCAAAGAAAGCGAAACCGUGUCUGCAAAAUUAUAUAAUAUGGAUAACCCAUGAAUUGAACUUCUAUAAAUCAAAAGUUUAUUAGCACCAACCAAACCAUCAAAUCUUCCAAAGAGUUCUCACUGAAUCUGAUAACCAAUCUUGUUCUGCCGCUUUUUGUGUUUUCCUCCUUUUACCUUCCAUUCAAUUCCCCAUUUAGUAAAGAUGACAGGCACUCCUCAAGAGACAGAAACCCAACAAGUACCUCCACCACCACCAUCUCCAAAGGCUGAUCAAGAGGCAGAAUUCCAUGAACCAACCUCAUCUGCCACUGUCACGGAGGAAUCCCACCCUAAUGAUCACCCACCAGCAUCGGAUGAGAAAACCAAGAAAUGGGGCACCCACAUCAUGGGACCUCCAGCAGCACCUAACGUCCACCCUGACAACCAACAGGCUGCCUUAUGGAAUGCCAGUGAGCACCAGCAAAUCCCCGAGCACCCAUACCUGGUGUAUACUCCCAUUGACAAAUCAGAAAUGACAACCCAGAAAUCUUUUGAACCUGUGAUCCAUAAGUUUCAGGAAUGGGGCAAGAUGGCAGAGACCGUAGCCCGUAACAUCUGGCACAAUCGUAAGUUGAUGUUCACAAACCAUGAAAUAUUAAAUUUAGCUAAUUGAUCAUCACUGUGACUGUGACCAUGAUAGAGUAGCGUUUUUCUGGCAUCAAAACGGACAACAAAUUUAGUUCAAGUGUAUCUUCCAAUCAUAUUUCUGAUCUGUUUUAACACGCACCUGCACAUACAC